UACGAAGGGGGCGAGCGUUGUUCGGAUUUACUGGGCGUAAAGGGCGCGCAGGCGGCUAUCCAAGUCAGGCGUGAAAGCCCCGGGCUUAACCUGGGAGGUGCGUCUGGGACUGGGUGGCUAGAGUUCGGGAGAGGAGAGUGGAAUUCCCAGUGUAGAGGUGAAAUUCGUAGAUAUUGGGAAGAACACCAGUGGCGAAGGCGGCUCACUGGCCCGGUACUGACGCUGAGGUGCGAAAGCGUGGGGAGCAAACAGG
rnacentral:rRNA from 1 species